UAACGCGUGGGAAUCUACCGUACCCUACGGAAUAACGCAUGGAAACGUGUGCUAAUACCGUAUACGCCCUACGGGGGAAAGAUUUAUCGGGGUAUGAUGAGCCCGCGUUGGAUUAGCUAGUUGGUGGGGUAAAGGCCUACCAAGGCGACGAUCCAUAGCUGGUCUGAGAGGAUGAUCAGCCACAUUGGGACUGAGACACGGCCCAAACUCCUACGGGAGGCAGCAGUGGGGAAUAUUG
rnacentral:rRNA from 1 species